UACGUAGGGCGCAAGCGUUAUCCGGAAUUAUUGGGCGUAAAGAGCUCGUAGGCGGUUUGUCGCGUCUGCCGUGAAAGUCCGGGGCUCAACUCCGGGAUCUGCGGUGGGUACGGGCAGACUAGAGUGAUGUAGGGGGAGACUGGAAUUCCUGGUGUAGCGGUGAAAUGCGCAGAUAUCAGGAGGAACACCGAUGGCGAAGGCAGGUCUCUGGGCAUUAACUGACGCUGAGGAGCGAAAGCAUGGGGGAGCGAACAGG
rnacentral:rRNA from 1 species